rnacentral:rRNA from 1 species
AAAUGACAGGUGGUGCAUGGUUGUCGUCAGCUCGUGUCGUGAGAUGUUGGGUUAAGUCCCGCAACGAGCGCAACCCUUAUGACUAGUUGCCAGCAUUUAGUUGGGCACUCUAGUAAGACUGCCGGUGACAAACCGGAGGAAGGUGGGGAUGACGUCAAAUCAUCAUGCCCCUUAUGACCUGGGCUACACACGUGCUACAAUGGAUGGUACAACGAGUUGCGAGACCGCGAGGUCAAGCUAAUCUCUUAAAGCCAUUCUCAGUUCGGACUGUAGGCUGCAACUCGCCUACACGAAGUCGGAAUCGCUAGUAAUCGCGGAUCAGCACGCCGCGGUGAAUACGUUCCCGGGCCUUGUACACACCGCCCGUCACACCAUGAGAGUUUGUAACACCCGAAGCCGGUGGCGUAACCCUUUUAGGGAGCGAGCCGUCUAAGGUGGGACAAAUGAUUAGGGUGAAGUCGUAACAAGGUAGCCGUAGGAGAACCUGCGGCUGGAUCACCUCCUUU